rnacentral:rRNA from 1 species
UUAGAUGAGGGGUGAUAACGAGGCUGCUUGCAGCCGAAGUGAGUGAUACCCUGCUUCCAGGAAAAGCCACUAAGCUUCAGCUACACACGACCGUACCGCAAACCGACACUGGUGCGCGAGAUGAGUAUUCUAAGGCGCUUGAGAGAACUCAGGAGAAGGAACUCGGCAAAUUGACACCGUAACUUCGGAAGAAGGUGUGCCCUAGUAGUGUGAUGAGAACAUCUGAGCACGAAAGGGUUGCAAAAAAUAGGUGGCUGCGACUGUUUAUUAAAAACACAGCACUCUGCAAACACGAAAGUGGACGUAUAGGGUGUGACGCCUGCCCGGUGCUGGAAGAUUAAUUGAUGGGGUGCAAGCUCUUGAUCGAAGUCCCAGUAAACGGCGGCCGUAACAAUAACGGUCCUAAGGUAGCGAAAUUCCUUGUCGGGUAAGUUCCGACCUGCACGAAUGGCGUAACGAUGGCCACACUGUCUCCUCCUGAGACUCAGCGAAGUUGAAAUGUUUGUGAUGAUGCAAUCUCCCCGCGGAAAGACGGAAAGACCCCAUGAACCUUUACUGUAGCUUUGUAUUGAAUUUUGAACAGAUCUGUGUAGGAUAGGUGGGAGGCUUUGAAGCAGGGUCGCUAGAUCUUGUGGAGCCAACGUUGAAAUACCACCCUGGUGUGUUUGAGGUUCUAACCUAGGUCCAUUAUCUGGAUCGGGGACAGUGCAUGGUAGGCAGUUUGACUGGGGCGGUCUCCUCCCAAAGUGUAACGGAGGAGUUCGAAGGUACGCUAGGUACGGUCGGACAUCGUGCUAAUAGUGCAAUGGCAUAAGCGUGCUUAACUGCGAGACUGACAAGUCGAGCAGAUGCGAAAGCAGGACAUAGUGAUCCGGUGGUUCUGUAUGGAAGGGCCAUCGCUCAACGGAUAAAAGGUACUCUGGGGAUAACAGGCUGAUACCGCCCAAGAGUUCAUAUCGACGGCGGUGUUUGGCACCUCGAUGUCGGCUCAUCUCAUCCUGGGGCUGUAGCCGGUCCCAAGGGUAUGGCUGUUCGCCAUUUAAAGAGGUACGUGAGCUGGGUUUAAAACGUCGUGAGACAGUUUGGUCCCUAUCUUCCGUGGGCGCUGCAGAUUUGAGGAAGCCUGCUCCUAGUACGAGAGGACCGGAGUGGACGCACCUCUGGUGUACCGGUUGUCACGCCAGUGGCAUUGCCGGGUAGCUAAGUGCGGAAGAGAUAACCGCUGAAAGCAUCUAAGCGGGAAACUCGUUCCAAGAUGAGAUCUGCCGGGGCCUUGAGCCCCCGUACUCUGCGUUGAU